CCUCUCCCCUUUCUUAUUUAUACUUCCGCCUCCCUGGGCUCUGCAAAGGGCAGGGCAUUCUCAGCAGGCCCAGUACCGGCUUCUUGUCUGAUCCUGGCACAGGAGCAGUAUUCAGCUCAAAGAGGAUGGGGAGAAGUGGGACCUCCAGCCCCUGUGGUGCCGUGGCCUCAAGGCUGCCAGCCUAACCUCCCUCCGUGGGUCACUUCAUCCCAGGAAAACAGGCCAUCAUCCUGGCCCCACCUUCCUCCCUCCUGGUGCUAUGUAAGUUGCAGGUCGCCUCUGGUUGUGCUAUGCAGGACGCUGCCUCAGCAUGGCCUGAUGAACGGUGCUAUUUCCCUGCCCAGGAUCUCAAUUGGCGAAAUUCCGGGCCGUCGAAGUGGAGUGCGUGAACUGAACCACUUGGCCGCGGGGCCGGCUCCCUUUUAAUGAAUUAUUUAUGUCAUUUUGCCAGAAUUGAAUUCUGUGCUGUGGUCAGUCAUCUUUUCCAAAUGGUAUGUUUUUCAGGACGCAACAAGAUUUUAGGCAUUUAAAUUUGUUCCCUCUGUGCAUAGGGCUGGGCAAACACAACUGUUUCCCAUUAACUCAGCCACUCUGAGGCCUCCCUUCUCUCUGGUUUGGGCUGGAGAAGAAGCACAAGCAAGCCCUUCCCAGCUGUUUUUGUGUGGUUGGCAAAGGGCUAACAUCAGCCUUGGAAAAGGAAGGGCCUACAGCCGCUCUGACUCCACUCUGGGGCAGCUGGGCAAUAACGAAGCUGCAGGAUCCCCUUCUCAGGAGGAGCCAGGCUCAGCCUAUGUGUCCUUUGAGAAGGAAAGGGCACCCAGGAAGGGAAACCCCAAGGUUUAGAAAGUGUAGGAUUUGGGAGGCUGAGGUAACAGAGAGAACGAGAAUAUCCUCCCAUGUCUUAUUCUUGAGUUCAGGAGUUAAUAAACUACAUCCUGAAGCCAAAUCCAGCCCACUGUCUGUUUUUGUA
ensembl:lncRNA